rnacentral:rRNA from 1 species
UGCUACAAUGGCGUAAACAAAGGGAAGCGGGAGGGCGACCUUAAGCAAAACCCAAAAAUAACGUCCCAGUUCGGAUUGUAGUCUGCAACCCGACUACAUGAAGCUGGAAUCGCUAGUGAUCGCGGAUCAGAAUGCCGCGGUGAAUACGUUCCCGGGUCUUGUACACACCGCCCGUCACACCAUGGGAGCCGGGAAUGCCCGAAGUCGGUGGCCUAACCGAAAGGGGGGAGCCGCCGAAGGCAGGCCUGGUAACUGGGGUGAAGUCGUAACAAGGUACC